GAUGAACGCUGGCGGCGUGCCUAAUACAUGCAAGUCAAGCGAACGGACGAGAAGCUUGCUUCUCUGAUGUUAGCGGCGGACGGGUGAGUAACACGUGGAUAACCUACCUAUAAGACUGGGAUAACUUCGGGAAACCGGAGCUAAUACCGGAUAAUAUUUUGAACCGCAUGGUUCAAAAGUGAAAGACGGUCUUGCUGUCACUUAUAGAUGGAUCCGCGCUGCAUUAGCUAGUUGGUAAGGUAACGGCUUACCAAGGCAACGAUGCAUAGCCGACCUGAGAGGGUGAUCGGCCACACUGGAACUGAGACACGGUCCAGACUCCUACGGGAGGCAGCAGUAGGGAAUCUUCCGCAAUGGGCGAAAGCCUGACGGGGCAACGCCGCGUGAGUGAUGAAGGUCUUCGGAUCGUAAAACUCUGUUAUUAGGGAAGAACAUAUGUGUAAGUAACUGUGCACAUCUUGACGGUACCUAAUCAGAAAGCCACGGCUAACUACGUG
rnacentral:rRNA from 1 species